GCUAGAAUAGCAAAGGGGUAAUGCGAGAAAUCUAAGCUUUCUUUAUUGGGGGUUCGAGUCCUCUUUUUAGUU
rnacentral:tRNA from 1 species